rnacentral:tRNA from 1 species
GCCCCGGUAGCGUAGCCUGGACAGCGCACGGGCCUUCGGAGCCCGGGGUCGUGGGUUCAAAUCCCACCCGGGGCG